CAGGGUUUAAAUAUGUCUCUCAGUGCCAUGAUUGGUCAGUACACGGCCUUUGACUCCAAAACGUGCAUGUACGUUGAAAUCGUGAUGUCACACACAUGCCAGCACCAUCUUUAAUGUGGGCAGCAGGGCCAGAUUAAGAGCCCAGUGGGCCUGGUGCUGACAAUUAUGACGGGCCUAAUUACAGAAUCUUAUCGACUAAUAACACUAAAACACUCCCAAGCAUCAUGUAUCUGAUGGAGAUGGUGCUGGAGGGAAAGAAAACAGCAGCUAUAAGAAGACACAUAUCCUAUGCUAAUCUAAUCUCUCUAAUUUAUGUUUUCAUCUUUAAAAUAAAUCCAUAACUCCUAACAGCAGUGUCCAGUCAAGCAGGAAGUCAAUGGGCAUGAUAAAAG